CUUUCUUGGUUACUAUUUCUUGACGUUAAAUGUACGUGGCAACGAUAUCUGUGAUGUAAAUUGUGAAUCAAAUAAAUACAGGAAUUUGAGCUUGAUUCUUAAACGCAAUAUAAUCGUUACAUAGUCUAUUCCAGGAGUACAGGCUUAAGUCAGCAAUGCUUGUAAACACACAAAUCAAAUGCACACAUAAUCUAGAGAAGAGGAAUACGAAUAAAAAAGGAGGAAACUGAGUACCCCUUUUCUACCCGGUAAUAGUAAAGACAUUUAUUUACAUUUUCCAUUAUAUAAAUCAUUUAAUUUUUUCAUGAAUGAUAUUGUGAUUUCUUCGGUUUGUGCGCUGUCCACUUCACCAUGGGUAAUUUUAUUACUCAUUCCAUCUAAACCGUCAGUCACUAGCUUUGAAAUUCUCGAUACUCAUUUGCCUGCUAGAUUGGCAGCAGUACUUUGAGCGUCUGCACUUCAGACGCUGUUGCUAUAGGAUCGUUGAUAGAUAACUUCUUUGUCACAACCUCAUCAAGAUUUGUAACUCUUGUAACUCUCAUAUGCUUCAAUACACGAAAAGCUGAUGUUUUAGAGUUUGUAACGGCGUUAUAUUUCUAAAAGAAAUACAAUAUAUUUGUCCUUAGCUUUGCUUUCCAACAUCAUACUUUUCACAAACUCUUGCUUCCAGCCUCAAACUUCUUUAUAAGUUCAAGUCGCUGGUUUGUAGAUUGGGUCAUAUGCUUCAUCGCUUGGUUAUUACUCCUUGAAACCUAGAUGAAAAUAAAAAAACUGAUAGACACCUAAUAAGUGAAGACUCAACGAAAAUUGCUGGGCAAAGCAAGUUGUAUUGCGUUUUUUUUAUCACAGCGUACACUGUGCUACCAAAGUGAACCGAUUAGUUCGGUACAAGGGUUCCUCAAAAUUGUAAGCUAUUUCGAUUUGACUUCAUCUUUGUUUCUGAGUAUGUAUUAUUAGAUUGCAAACAAAUUGCAGACAGAUUAUCUCAUGAUACUGCAAAAAUAGAAUUAUUAUACAGAAAUCAGCUUCAUUUAUAAAUUUGCAACGAAUUUAUACAUACAAUUUCUCAACACGGAAACAGCGUUUAUGAGAGGAGGUGUUGAAGCGAAUAAGAAAUAAUAAGUUUUACAUAAGUUUCAGACUGAAUAUUGAUAGAAAGAAGCAGGAAAAAAGGUGGGAGAAUGAAUUUGAAUAGAAGGCGAAUUACGUGGAGUACUAGGAAGAAAGUGUAUACUUCUUAGAGGAAUUUAAAAGGGAAUAAUAAACAGAAAGUGUUCUGAGGAAAUAUCACUCGAUCACUGCUCCCAUAUUUUUCGUUAUUCCGUUAAUAUUUUAUGAAGAGGAGACAGAAAAAUUAGUUCUCCAUUAUGUCGCAUGAUCAUGUCAUAGAAUUUAUGAUGGCAUUAUCAUCUUUGAUCAAUGAGCAGCAUUUCUACAUUACCGAUUUGAGUGACAUUCUGCUGCUAUAUCUAGUUGGCUGGUCAGCCACAUAAAGACUCCAUCAUAUAGCUGUUGUUUAGCCACAGGUCAACCUGGAUUCAACAGACUUAAAAUGAAAGGCAUUCCAACCGUAACCAUCUCGUUAUUCAUGUGUACAUCGAAUUAAGUAACCCAAAGUGUUCUUUCUUUAUUCAAGUCAGUUAAAGAUGAUUUGAGAGAGAAUUUACAGCUGUUUCUAGCAGGUCUAGCGGCCUCGUAGAGGCUCUCAUUGUCUUGCUUCUGCUUCGAUGCUGUGAAGUAAUUCAUAACCUGAAAUGAGUAAAAUGAAAAAAAAAAACAAAAAAAUCCAACCGGGGCUUAAAUUACUUCACAAAACAAAGAGAAAGUAUAUAAGAUAGAAAAAAAGAAAAAAGAAAAAGUCUUUACAGUCUUUACAGCUGAUUUGGUCGAAAACAUUGAAUCUCUAGGGUAAAAAAGUGGAAAAGAAAUAAAAUAAAUAUCAUAGAAUAUAUUUUCGAAGAAGAAGAAAAUGGUAAUUGGAAAAAUCAAGAUAUAAAGUUAUUACAUGUUCUAUGGCAAGUAAAAGCUUAAGGCGAACAGACUUUGACAAUGUGAGCUCAAAUCUUUAAAGAGUCUUUUCUUUCUUUUUAA